rnacentral:rRNA from 1 species
UCGAGAAUUUUUCUCAAUGGGCGAAAGCCUGAAGGAGCGACGCCGCGUGGGGGAUGAAUGGCUUCGGCCCGUAAACCCCUGUCAUUUGUGACCAAACCUUCCGAUCUAAUAAGUCGGAAGCUGAUGGUAGCGGAAGAGGAAGGGACGGCUAACUCUGUGCCAGCAGCCGCGGUAAUACAGAGGUCCCAAGCGUUGUUCGGAUUCACUGGGCGUAAAGGGUGCGUAGGUGGUCGGAUAAGUUUGAUGUGAAAUCUCCGGGCUUAACCCGGAAACUGCAUUGAAUACUAUCUGGCUGGAGGGUUGGAGGGGGGACUGGAAUUCUCGGUGUAGCAGUGAAAUGCGUAGAUAUCGAGAGGAACACCAGUGGCGAAGGCGAGUCCCUGGACAACUCCUGACACUGAGGCACGAAAGCUAGGGGAGCAAACAG